UGCUACCCUAAGAUUGCAUCUAUGCAAGUGCAACAUGAUAUAACUAGUUACUACUUCAUUGCCUUUCUUUUUCUUCUUUUAAUAUCUAUUUCCUAUUUCAUUGUUAAGGGUGUGAACGGUCAGGCCCACUCGGGCUUGGGUCCAGACUCCAGACUCCUCGGUCUGUUGUUCUGGAUCUAAUGGACAUUUAUGCAUAAUUACUAAUUGAGCCAGAAAUUGGUUGAGGAGCUUCUGAUAUACUGGGAAUUGAUGCACUUGUGGGCAAUCAAAGUUCCAUCUAUAGUCUGUCUGCUAUAUACAAAAGCUCCCUGCACCUUGGAGAUACAUUUACUAGCACCUUUUUAUGUAGUAUGUAGUACGGAUGCAAGACAGAGGAUCAAACUUUCACUAUUUUAUGGUGUGCAGCUGACAGAGAGCACGGCCUGCAACCUUUCAUGUAAAGUUGCACCUUCCAACUUGUACAUGCACUUGGACUCUCU